rnacentral:rRNA from 1 species
GGUCCAGACUCCUACGGGAGGCAGCAGUGGGGAAUAUUGGGCAAUGGGCGGAAGCCUGGCCCAGCAACGCCGCGUGAAGGAAGAAGGCUUUCGGGUUGUAAACUUCUUUUCUCGGGGACGAACAGAUGACGGUACCUGAGGAAUAAGCCACGGCUAACUACGUGCCAGCAGCCGCGGUAAUACGUAGGUGGCAAGCGUUAUCCGGAUUUACUGGGUGUAAAGGGCGCGUAGGCGGGAUGGCAAGUCAGAUGUGAAAUCCAGGGGCUCAACCCCUGAACUGCAUUUGAAACUGUCGUUCUUGAGUACUGGAGAGGUUGACGGAAUUCCUAGUGUAGCGGUGAAAUGCGUAGAUAUUAGGAGGAACACCAGUGGCGAAGGCGGUCAACUGGACAGCAACUGACGCUGAGGCGCGAAAGCGUGGGGAGCAAACAGGAUUAGAUACCCUCGUAA